rnacentral:SRP_RNA from 1 species
GGGUAAGUCCUUCACGACCAGCUCCUAUUGAAUCCCCCAGGGUAGGAAUACAGCAAGGGUAAGGUGGUUGUAGCGGUGCGAUGAAGUUUGCUUGCCCUUU